rnacentral:rRNA from 1 species
CUUGGUCAUUUAGAGGAAGUAAAAGUCGUAACAAGGUCUCCGUAGGUGACCUGCGGAGGGAUCAUUACUGAGUUUUUAACUCUCCAAACCAUGUGAACUUACCACUGUUGCCUCGGUGGUCGGUGCUGGAAACAGUGCUGCCACCGGUGGACUACUAAACUCUUGUUAAUUUUUGUCAAAUCUGAAUCAAAACUAAGAAAUAAGUUAAAACUUUCAACAACGGAUCUCUUGGUUCUGGCAUCGAUGAAGAACGCAGCGAAAUGCGAUAAGUAAUGUGAAUUGCAGAAUUCAGUGAAUCAUCGAAUCUUUGAACGCACAUUGCGCCCAUUAGUAUUCUAGUGGGCAUGCCUGUUCGAGCGUCAUUUCAACCCUUAAGCCUAGCUUAGUGUUGGGAGACUGCCUAAUACGCAGCUCCUCAAAACCAGUGGCGGAGUCUGUUCGUGCUCUGAGCGUAGUAAUUUUUUAUCUCGCUUCUGCAAGCCGGCCAGACGACAGCCAUAAACCGCACCCUCUCGGGGGGCACUUUUUUAAUGGUUGACCUCGGAUCAGGUAGGAAUACCCGCUGAACUUAAGCAUAUCAAUAAGCGGAGGA